rnacentral:rRNA from 1 species
UACGGAAGGCAGCAGUGGGGAAUAUUGGACAAUGGGCGAAAGCCUGAUCCAGCAAUGCCGCGUGAGUGAUGAAGGCCUUAGGGUUGUAAAGCUCUUUUACCCGGGAUGAUAAUGACAGUACCGGGAGAAUAAGCUCCGGCUAACUCCGUGCCAGCAGCCGCGGUAAUACGGAGGGAGCUAGCGUUGUUCGGAAUUACUGGGCGUAAAGCGCACGUAGGCGGCUUUGUAAGUUAGAGGUGAAAGCCUGGAGCUCAACUCCAGAAUUGCCUUUUGAUACUGCAUGGCUUGAAUCCAGGAGAGGUGAGUGGAAUUCCGAGUGUAGAGGUGAAAUUCGUAGAUAUUCGGAAGAACACCAGUGGCGAAGGCGGCUCACUGGACUGGUAUUGACGCUGAGGUGCGAAAGCGUGGGGAGCAAACAGGGAUUAGAUACC